rnacentral:rRNA from 1 species
UACGGGGGGGGCAAGCGUUGUUCGGAAUUACUGGGCGUAAAGGGCGUGUAGGUGGCCAACUAAGUCCGACGUGAAAUCCCCAGGCUUAACCUGGGAACUGCGUCGGUGACUGGCAAGCUAGAGUGUGGCAGAGGGGGGUAGAAUUCCACGUGUAGCAGUGAAAUGCGUAGAGAUGUGGAGGAAUACCGAUGGCGAAGGCAGCCCCCUGGGCUAACACUGACGCUCAUGCACGAAAGCGUGGGGAGCAAACAGG